UACAGAGGUCCCAAGCGUUGUUCGGAUUCAUUGGGCGUAAAGGGUGCGUAGGUGGCGCCGUAAGUCAGGUGUGAAAUCUCGGGGCUUAACUCCGAAACUGCAUUUGAUACUGCGGUGCUUGAGGACUGGAGAGGAGACUGGAAUUUACGGUGUAGCAGUGAAAUGCGUAGAGAUCGUAAGGAAGACCAGUGGCGAAGGCGGCUCUCUGGGACGGUACUGACGCUGAGGUGCGAAAGCGUGGGGAGCAAACAGG
rnacentral:rRNA from 1 species